AGUUCAAAGUUGCUUCUGCUGAUAAGUAGCAAUUAUGAGGUUUUGCUGUUGCUAGAGAAGUUGUUUGAGCCCAUUGGGAUUAUGAUUGGUUAAAUUUAUUGCAUAGUCAUGUUUCAAGUAAAAUAGUUGGUUAAAAGUAUAGAUAAGAAGGACUCUCAUUUUAACUAUAUAAUGAGAGUCAAAAGAGAUGCCAGCUGGAACUAACUCCAGGACACAGCUCAAGAACAAAGCUGCCAGAAUGCUUACAUCCUGCAGAAGCCAGCCCCCCGGACGAAAUCUGAUGCUGACUGACCGUUGAGAGAAGUCUGGCUGCUUUGUUGGGAGUGGAGCUUAGAACAUGGAAAAGGAAGAAAGGGCUGAGCAGAGGGGAGAACUUUCUGCUUUACCAACUGGCAUUUUCUUCUCCUUCCCCAUUGUUUUCAUGUUAUGGUGCAAUUAACUAAUUUUAGAAAUAAUGUUUUUAAAGUCACAGCUGAGGGGAAACACUGCAGCAGCGAGUGUCUCAGACAAACAAACUUUUAACAGAUCCCUUUGCGACUGAUUUAUAAGUUACAGAAAAACACCUUGGUUAAUAAAUCCCCAGGAAAUUCUG